GAUGAACGCUGGCGGCGUGCCUAAUACAUGCAAGUCGAGCGAACAGACGAGGAGCUUGCUCCUCUGACGUUAGUGGCGGACGGGUGAGUAACACGUGGAUAACCUACCUAUAAGACUGGGAUAACUUCGGGAAACCGGAGCUAAUACCGGAUAAUAUAUUGAACCGCAUGGUUCAAUAGUGAAAGACGGUUUUGCUGUCACUUAUAGAUGGAUCCGCGCCGCAUUAGCUAGUUGGUAAGGUAACGGCUUACCAAGGCAACGAUGCGUAGCCGACCUGAGAGGGUGAUCGGCCACACUGGAACUGAGACACGGUCCAGACUCCUACGGGAGGCAGCAGUAGGGAAUCUUCCGCAAUGGGCGAGAGCCUGACGGAGCAACGCCGCGUGAGUGAUGAAGGUCUUCGGAUCGUAAAACUCUGUUAUUAGGGAAGAACAAAUGUGUAAGUAACUAUGCACGUCUUGACGGUACCUAAUCAGAAAGCCACGGCUAACUACGUG
rnacentral:rRNA from 1 species